AGAGUUUGAUGGUGGCUCAGAUUGAACGCUGGCGGCAGGCCUAACACAUGCAAGUCGAGCGGAAACGAGUUAUCUGAACCUUCGGGGAACGAUAACGGCGUCGAGCGGCGGACGGGUGAGUAAUGCCUGGGAAAUUGCCCUGAUGUGGGGGAUAACCAUUGGAAACGAUGGCUAAUACCGCAUAAUAGCUUCGGCUCAAAGAGGGGGACCUUCGGGCCUCUCGCGUCAGGAUAUGCCCAGGUGGGAUUAGCUAGUUGGUGAGGUAAAGGCUCACCUAGGCGACGAUCCCUAGCUGUUCUGAGAGGAUGAUCAGCCACACUGGGACUGAGACACGGCCCAGACUCCUACGGGAGGCAGCAGUGGGGAAUAUUGCACAAUGGGGGGAACCCUGAUGCAGCCAUGCCGCGUGUGUGAAGAAGGCCCUAGGGUUGUAAAGCACUUUCAGCGAGGAGGAAAGGUUAGUAGUUAAUACCUGCUAGCUGUGACGUUACUCGCAGAAGAAGCACCGGCUAACUCCGUGCCAGCAGCCGCGGUAAUACGGAGGGUGCGAGCGUUAAUCGGAAUUACUGGGCGUAAAGCGUGCGCAGGCGGUUUGCUAAGUCAGAUGUGAAAGCCCCGGGCUUAACCUGGGAAUCGCAUUUGAAACUGGCAAACUAGAGUCUUGUAGAGGGGGGUAGAAUUUCAGGUGUAGCGGUGAAAUGCGUAGAGAUCUGAAGGAAUACCGGUGGCGAANGCGGCCCCCUGGACAAAGACUGACGCUCA
rnacentral:rRNA from 1 species